UACGGAGGAUGCAAGCGUUAUCCGGAAUGAUUGGGCGUAAAGCGUCCGCAGGUGGCAGUUCAAGUCUGCUGUCAAAGACCGGGGCUUAACUUCGGAAAGGCAGUGGAAACUGAACAGCUAGAGUAUGGUAGGGGCAGAGGGAAUUCCUGGUGUAGCGGUGAAAUGCGUAGAGAUCGGGAAGAACAUCGGUGGCGAAGGCGCUCUGCUGGACCAUAACUGACACUCAGGGACGAAAGCUAGGGGAGCGAAUGGG
rnacentral:rRNA from 1 species